rnacentral:lncRNA from 1 species
CGUUGCUCUCAAUAGUAUUAGGAUUACAACAAAUCUGUACAUGUUUCAAUACCUAGGACAUUUUUCAGGUGUCUGUACAUGUGCAUGUUUGGCUAUCUAGGAUUUUCUGUACAUGUAAGAACAGAAUCUGUACAUGUUUCCGCGAGGCCCCUAAAUCUGUACAUGUUUGGCUAUCUAGGAUUUUCUUAACUAAUAUUACAGCAUCAUUGUAAAUUGUUUCAUGUGCCUUCGGAGUCUUUGUGAUCCUGAAGCAGCUACGCUGAUUGUGAGGAGCUUCAGGUGCCUUUGUUCUGGGAAUUGGUCCUGCCUUUGUUCUGGGAAAGAUUGUAGCAGCCUCAGGCACAAGCAGCUGGCAAAGCAAAGCUUAGCUGCCGCAGCUCGAGACUUCAGACUGCUAGAAUUUCAGGCACAAGCACCUGUUCACUCACUGCCCUGCAACAAACAUUCAGUAUGUCUUCAGCAUCAUUUUAGGAUCGCAAAUUGUACUAGUAAAUCAAUAAACAGUCUGCUACCAACAGGAAUAGCACGAUGUCUGUCUAUGUGAGCACCAACAGAACAGAAUAACAAGCAUUCCUCUGCCACUCUGUCUUGGCAGUGCAUUGCCCCUGCAACUAAAAUUUGCGCAGGAAGAGGAGGGACGAAUUGCGUACCAGAGGAGCUCGCUCCAGGGGGCCGCGGGGCGGGUGACGGAGCAUCAGCCUGAGGGCAACCAGCGGAUGGCGGCGGAGAAGCCUCCCGGACGUGCGGCGGGUGGGGCCUCGCGGACGGCGGAGCGCUGGCUCCCCAGCCCGACGGUGGAGGAGGAGCCUCCAGGUCGUGCGGCACAUGGGGCCUCGCGGACAGCAGCGCGUUGGUUCCCCAGCUCGGCGGCGGCGGAUGGGGUCCCAGACGGUGGUGGAAGAGCCUUCCAGCCGGCGGCGGGCUGGUUUCCCCAGCGUUUGUGGCCGAUGCUUUGGGUGAGAAAGGGGAUAUGAGCAUCCAGCCAAUGACUCGUGGGCCACACUUGAAAUCCCGUGUGGGCGCGCUUCGUGAAAAUUUCAGUUUGCACGGGCCUUAGGUUUUCACGGUGCUUCUCACAAAAACAAUCGCCCUCUCUCCAGCCGCCGCCCAGCUGCCGCCGCCUCCCUCCCUACCUCCAUCUGCGGCCUCCUCUCUCCCUCCCUUCCUCCAUCGGCGGCCUCCUCUCUCCCUCCCUACCUCCAUCUGCGGCCUCCUCUCUCCAUCUCCCACAACCCGCAUCGAGGAUGACCUCCUCCAUCUCCUGGAACCCUAGACCGAAAAUUUGGGGGAUUGGCUGAAGACCAACGUCAGCUCCAAGAUUUCUGAAUCGACAAGGAUGGCUCCUGGCCGUAAGUAUGUUGCAGAAAAAAAUCACAACAAUCUCAGCUAUCAG